GCUCCAAUAGCGUAUAUUAAAGUUGUUGCAGUUAAAAAGCUCGUAGUUGAAUUUCUGGGCCAGGCUGCUCGCGUCCGCGAAAGUGUGACGCGACGACUGGACCAUCCUCGCAAGGAAGGCCUGCCUUCACUGGUGCGGGUCCACUUGCGUCCUUUACUGUGAAAAAAUUAGAGUGUUUAAAGCAGGCUUUCAGCUUGAAU
rnacentral:rRNA from 1 species